rnacentral:rRNA from 1 species
CAGUCGCCGCGGGAAUACGUAGGGGGCAAGCGUUAUCCGGAAUUACUGGGUGUAAAGGGAGCGUAGACGGUUAAACAAGUCUGAAGUGAAAUGCCGGGGCUCAACCCCGGAGCUGCUUUGGGAACUGUAGAACUGGAGUGUCGGAGGGGUAAGCGGAAUUCCCAGUGUAGCGGUGAAAUGCGUAGAUAUUGGGAGGAACACCGGCGGCGAAGGCGGCUUACUGGACGACAACUGACGUUGAGGCUCGAAGGCGUGGGUAGCAAACAGGAUUAGAUACCCCUGUAGUCCCUGUCUCUUAUAC